rnacentral:lncRNA from 1 species
UACAGAAAUGAGAGAUCCCGAAACACUUUUUUUCUUUUCCUUUGUCCGGUCUAACCUUAUUUGGGGUUUUAACAAAAAACAUUCAGAAAAAUCGAAGGCCGCCAUCUUUGUCUUAUUAUUUCGCUUUCGUUCUCCAUCGGAACCGAUUCCCACGUUUUCUCUUCAUUUCGUGCGGUUGAAAUGAAAUUGUUGGAACAUAUCAAUAAAACAUUGCCUCGCGUCGUUAGGUUAGGUAUUGUUUUCUUCCAGAUGGAGCCACCACCCAGUGCAAACAAAGAAGAAUAUUGCCAGCAAGUCCUUCUUCAUCUUUCACCUCAAUACUUUUAUCUGACGAUAACUAAUUUUCGAAGCCAUAUAAGGAGAUUGUCGUACCAAAGCCUCGACCUCAAUCUACGUCGGUGAACAAAUUUCAGCGGUUGAUUCAUCGUCACUAGCUUCCUGUCAAUGGCAAACUCAUAUAUAAUGCUAGCCUGUUUAAGUUUGAAUUAAGAUUUUCCAACUGUAACUAAACCUGAAGGUCUUUAAUAACGAACUGUGUGUGGCGCCAGUCUACAAAAGUUGAAAGUUAACCUAAGGAAAACCUGUCGCAAGGAAAACGGGUUUUGUCUUUGACGUCAAAAGAGUUGCGAGCUAAAGUCCACAGGUCGGUCGGGCUUUUCCCGUUGUUGCCUAAGAACAACUUUGCCGCCCUCGGGGUUCAUACUUCAUAGUUUUAAAUAGCUGCUGGAGGAGGAUUCCUCCCAGCAACCACCCAGCAGAAGACACCUAUCCGACUAUUUGCUUGUAAGUUUGAAUAUAAAGUAAAUCACGACUUGAACGAACUCUAGUCGUGUGUGUAUACGAAUGGAGAAAGGCCUGGUUUUUAUCUUCCAGGUCGGGUAGAAACUAGCACAAAUAAAAGAGCCAAGUAAAAGAAACGAUGGAAUGGAAAAAGGUGCAACGGUCACAUAUAGCCUGCAGGCGGUUUUGUGUUCGCCCCUCAAAUUCUCCCCCUCGAGGCCGCCCUCGUAAACAAAUAGGAAACAGACGUGAAUUCCCUAGCAUCUGCCGUAAAGUUGGUCACACCUCGCACCACCAUAGAACAUUUAAAAAUUUAAAAUGAUGGGAUUUUGUCCUGGCUUUUAAAGCCAUCUCCAAGGAAACUCGUGUGUUUUCUACAGGUGAGAUCAUGAUUGUAUCAAGGUCAUUUCUGUGGAAAUGCUUAACCCCCCUCCAUCUGUAAAAGCCUCGUCCUCCCAUAUGCAUAGAGUUUGCCGUGCUCAUUCUAGUUAGAUGAUGAUAGUCGAGCUGGUGGGCUGAGGGGAAAAUUCUCAACUGACAGCACUCAUCUAUCAAACGUAAAGAAAACAAAAAACUAAACUCAGGGAAUGUUUAUUUCCUUUUAAAUCUUUUCUUGCAUGGAAGAAGGAAACACCUCAAACAUUCAUUUUGAGGUUUUUUGGUUCAAACCUAGAUAAGUCAUAAGUGACGUUGCGUCAGCUUCCUCUACGAAAAUUUCCCCUCGAAUCCACAAAAAAUUAUUUCAAUAUAACCAGUUGAAUCGAAAAGCGAUGAGAAUGAUUAAAGGAAACUACAUGAAAAAACAAUGGAAACUUUAAGGUCUUGAAUUCGUUAUGGCAUCUACCGCUUCGUGAAAUAGGAAACGACAUUUUCGGGCUCGAUGUAAAGAGGAAAUUCUCAAUUUACUCACGCACGUUAGUCCAUACGGGAACGAGAUAUCAGUUUAUUUUUUUAUUUUUAUUUAGAUUUUAGUUUUGAGAUAAUAUAAUAACAAUAAUAUUGAGCUAUUUUACGCCAACGCCAUCUACAGACCACAUGACUUAUUAUAAACAGAAUUAAACCGAAAGAAAGCUUAAGUUCAAAAGUGGAGUAAUGACGUCGUGAAUCCAAUGUUGAAAUUUAAAAGUCACCACUAUUUAUAUUCAAAAAAAAUACAUAAUAUGCCCCGCCUGUGAUUUUUCCGUCGUGAGAGAAUGCCGAGUUCGUGACGAAGCUGAAUCUGUGCUUGUCAAGUGAUAGACAAACAAUAGCCUGAUCCUUCUCAACCCCGUGAAUCGCCCAAAUAGAAAGUUUAUGGUUCGUUCGCGUUAUUGCAGUCUCAUCGUGAGGACGAGUAACGUUACAAUAGACAGAAUAAUUCCUAGGGUAUGCAAUCCAGCUUAUGUAAUCAUCUUUGAGCCAUAUAUUUAUUUAAAAGACACGACAUCAAGGAGCCCAACGCCUAAACCCGCGAUGAAGUAUAUGCCGUUGUUAAACUGUUGGCAGUUCAAUAUUGUGUGCGCAUUUAUUCCUUGACUUAUUAUUUUCUAAAAUUGAUUUGCCUUUGUGAUGUGUAAAAGAAUAAAUAAAGCUCGAAUCGGUAAUGUACAGGGACUCCCAAGUCUGGAUUACACACUUGUAUUCGCAUUUCAAAACAUGUUAAAAUAUUGAAAACCCAUGAAAAAGGAAAGCUUUCGCUAUUGGCCUAACUUGUAGGAUCUUGUCACAAUUAACUGCGAAGAGCUUGAAAUUGUCGAAAAGUGUCAAGAAUAUUGCCAUCCAAAUCGUGUGUGAAGAGAAGGGUUUCCAACGUUUGACUGUACUUUUCCACCUGCUCAUGAUGCUGCAUAUUUUCAAAGAAAUUAUUCAAAAUAAAUUUGAAAUGAAUGAAUUAAAAUGAAUUAAUAUAUAUAAUACAUACCGCCAUGAAAACUUGCUGCAAUCUUCCAACAGUCCAUUGAUACCAAAAUGUGUUGAAAUCCUUGCCAUCUGUAUCGCAACGAACGACGUGCUCCGACAAAAUCAUGAUGAAACGCUG